UACGUAGGGACCGAGCGUUGUCCGGAAUCAUUGGGCGUAAAGAGCGUGUAGGCGGCCACUUAAGUCCUGCGUGAAAUGCUUGCGGCUCAACCGCAAGCGGUCGUGGGAAACUGGGUGGCUAGAGUGCGGGAGAGGAGAGUGGAAUUCCUGGUGUAGCGGUGGAAUGCGACAGAUAUCAGGAGGAACGACCGGUGGCGAAGGCGGGUCUCUGGGCCGAUAUUGACGCUGAGGAGCGAAAGCGUGGGAGCGAACAGG
rnacentral:rRNA from 1 species